UAAGGAAUAUUGGUCAAUGGGGGCAACCCUGAACCAGCAACGCCGCGUGGAGGAUGAAGGGUUUCGGCUCGUAAACUCCUUUUAGGUGGGAAGAGCAAGGACGGUACCACCUGAAUAAGUCUCGGCUAACUACGUGCCAGCAGCCGCGGUAAAACGUAGGAGACGAGCGUUAUCCGGAUUUACUGGGCGUAAAGCGCGUGCAGGCGGUUUAUUAAGUCACUUGUGAAAGCGCCCGGCUCAACUGGGCGAGGCCGUGUGAGACUGAUAGACUUGAGAGAGGUAGAGGCGAAUGGAAUUCCGGGUGGAGUGGUGAAAUGCGUAGAGAUCCGGAGGAACACCAGUGGCGAAGGCGAUUCGCUGGGCCUUCUCUGACGCUCAGACGCGACAGCAUGGGGAGCGAACGGGAUUAGAACCCCGGUAGUCCAUGCCGUAAACGAUGCACACUAAGUGCCUGCCUGUAACAGGGUGGUGCUGGAGCAAACGCGCUAAGUGUGCCGCC
rnacentral:rRNA from 1 species